UUUUCGAAGCCAGACACACACACACACACACACAAACACAAACACACACAUAAACGAAUAACAGCUAGGUUCGUUCACACGAAUCAAUUUCCAUUCAUCCAUCUCCGGCAUAUUCACAAACACUUGCACAUGCAAACAGGUAUGUAAUUUUCAAUGUCGGCCGAAUAAUGAACCUUGUUUGUGUUGUCUCAUCGAUCUGUCGAAAAAAGCCGGCGCGCGCGUGUUGUUUUGUUUUAGUCCAAGUUUUUUCGUAUCGUGCGCUUGUCAGUCAAGUUUGUUUUUUUGUGAAAAAAAAUUCUCAAACACGAAUAAAUCACUGUGGUUGUGAAAACAAGAUGAAAGGACAUUGAACGCGAAUGAAUAUAAAUCGAUCGAAAACUGAAAUUGAAACAAAAACAGCAGCAGCAGUGGAAAAACUGUGUCAAUAUAUCUGAACAUUGAAAGCAAUUCGUAGAAAUUUACCCUCAAAUUCUCCAAUGUGAUCGUUAAAAAUCAUUUUUUUCAUACAAGUUGUCGAUACGUUUUUUUGUGUCGUGCAGUGAACUUUAAUUCACAUCUCAUCAUAUUUGUGAAAAAGAUUAAUUAAUCAAUUUAUUUAUGAUGAUGAGAAAGGAUUGAUCAAAUGAAUUUACUCAAUUUACUCAAUGCUCACAACACCACAUCCGGACCGCUUCACUGUCAUUCUCAAUAAAAGAUCAUUUAUUUAGUUUCGGAAGGGUUUGCCUUGAACCUGGCAAACACACAGGUGUCAUUAUCAUUGAAUGGUGCUGGGUGGAUAAUUCGAAAAUGAAAUUGGAUGUAAUUUAUAGCCUUGUUUACGUGAUCACCAUUAUCAUCAUCAUCACUUUAUUAUCGAAUACUUUUUUCAAUCCAUCACACACACACACAAGAUGUGUUAUUGGCAGAAAAGAACUUGAUUCAGAGAUUAUCAUCUGAUUAUUAUUAUACACACCUUUCUCUGGAAUGGAAUAUUUAAAAAGGUGCACGCGCGCGCCUUUGAUUUGAAUUGGAUAAUUUGCAUUUUUUCCAUCGAAAACAUACAUGUAAUCAUUUAUGUUAUGAUUGACUGGACGAUGUUGAAUCGAUGGAUAUAUUAUCGAGAAACGAUUUCUGAUCACUUUCGGCCAAUAAUUGUGUAAU